GACGUAGGGCGCGAGCGUUGUCCGGAUUUAUUGGGCGUAAAGAGCUCGUAGGCGGUUUGUCGCGUCGUCCGUGAAAACUCACAGCUUAACUGUGAGCUUGCGGUCGAUACGGGCAGACUAGAGUGCGGUAGGGGAGAUUGGAAUUCCUGGUGUAGCGGUGGAAUGCGCAGAUAUCAGGAGGAACACCGAUGGCGAAGGCAGAUCUCUGGGCCGUAACUGACGCUGAGGAGCGAAAGCGUGGGGAGCGAACAGG
rnacentral:rRNA from 1 species